rnacentral:lncRNA from 1 species
AUAUAUUAAUAAAUCAUAUUUAAACCUUUCUCUCCUUAAUUCAUCCUACAUAUUGCUAUGGUGAAGGCAACCCAAAAGGACCAUGCUCAUAAUCGGGUCAAGUACAUACCAAAAUAGUUAUGGACUUAGACACUAAUCCAACAGAUAGGUUGGUAGGGACCAGGGUGGUCUCAGUUCAUCCGGAAGGCAGAUAAGGAAUAGCAGAAUUUUCGGUCAGUAGUAUUGCGGGUAAGCAGUGUAUGGUGGAAUUCAUUUAGUUGAAUCGAGGGGUGCUUGGCACCAAGUUUUGGCAGAGAGGAGUGUCAGUGAUUACUGACGGUGAUGACCCAUUCUGGGAAUAACGGGGGUGAUGGAGUUGGUGAAGGAUAGAACCUUCACAGUGGCAGAGGAAAUAGUUGGAUAUGGAGCUUUGCCUUUGGAAGGCAAGGAAUUUGCGCAAGGAAAGAAGGGGUGAACCCCUAUAGGUUCAGUGCAGUACUCGGUGAGUACCAUAAGGAUUGUCGGUUGAGUAAGUUGUGUUUCUGAAUUGUUCCGGGUCAGGUUUGACCCGAGGUUGAUCCGCGAGGUUUAUGUUAGUCAGAAUGACCUGGUGGAAGACCAGCGAAGGUAGGCAACUGGUUUUGGGAUAAUUGGUGGGUAGUGGAGGCAGAUCGUAGGCGGUGGGCCAUGGCAAAUUUCGAGGAUGAAGUUUAGUUUAAGUGGGGGAGAGUUGUAACACCCAAAGUUUUGAAGGCCAAGAAAGGAAAGAAAACCCUAAGUUUAGGGGUCGACUCAGCGAGUCCGAGCGGGAUCCAGGUCAAGGUGCAAGUGACCAACUCGGCGAGUCGGCCAAGUGGACUCGGCGAGUCUGGUCUGUGCGUGGAAAACCCUAAAUUCGGGACUUGGAGCCUAUAUAAACGUCUUAAUCUUCUUCCUAGGGUUCCUUACUGCCUCUUUAGCCCUGGAUACCUUUCUCUCCUUAAUUCAUCCUACAUAUUGCUAUGGUGAAGGCAACCCAAAAGGACCAUGCUCAUAAUUGGGUCAAGUACAUACCAAAAUAGUUAUGGACUUAGACACUAAUCCAACAGUCUCCCACUUGGAUAAGUCUAAUAACUAUUUUCCGUAUGACUUCAGAACCUGAUCAGCAAUCGUAGCUUUCAAAAGCCGCUGUCAACUCUGAUCUUAUUAGAUAGCGUGUCCUCUAGAUAAGGGAUUAUAUAUUCCUCCAUUCUCAAGAUAUCGUAUAGACAAAAGACAUGAAUUUCAAUCAUUCUCUCUAUACUGUUUCCCGACUUCCGAUUUAUGACGACUGAUAACAGACUAUAAUUGAACACAUCAACUUAGUCCCGGCUUGGCCAAGCGCUUAGGUGUCAUCACUAAAUCAUCGAGAGGCCCACAGAUAUCGCUUUUAUCCCACUUUGGGUAAAAGGAAUGGAUAAACUUCGACUCAAAUGCUCUCUUGCAUUUACUGAUCGAAUCACACACAACAAUAAGUUUUAUAACACCAAGUUACUGGUGCGUUUACUUAUUAUCAAUGUGCAACCGACCAACAAAUAACAACUCACACGUCUCGGUUUCAAGAAUAUACAAUAUUAUCGUCUCACUAAUCACUCGUGAUAAAACCAUGAAGUGAUCCAAGUGAGCGUGGGUUUAAUCCAAUACUCUAAUCUUAUCAAAGCACUCAUGAACUCUGCAGCAAACUUGUGCUAUGUCUAAACACUUCAGACAAUCUACAGACAGAUUCAUGACAGUCUUUAUUCAUACCUACUCCCAACGUAUGACCGACUGUGGAUGUUUGAAUAACCUAGUUAUUAUGGAAGUCAAAACAUGCAAAUUGAAACAUAACAAUAAUACUUAAUCCUAUAUGGCCUCAAACUUGUGAGAGUAAAUAAAACACUUCUAUUUAACC